rnacentral:rRNA from 1 species
GAUGAACGCUAGCGGCAGGCCUAAUACAUGCAAGUCGAACGGUGUCUUCGGACAUAGUGGCGCACGGGUGCGUAACACGUAUGCAACCUACCUUAUAUUGGGGGAUAGCCUUUCGAAAGGGAGAUUAAUACCGCAUAAGACAGUAGCUGGGCAUCCAGCAGCUGUUAAAGAUUUAUCGAUGUAAGCUGGGCAUGCGUCCAAUUAGCUAGUUGGUGAGGUAACGGCUCACCAAGGCAAUGAUUGGUAGGGGAACUGAGAGGUCAAUCCCCCACACUGGCACUGAGAUACGGGCCAGACUCCUACGGGAGGCAGCGGUAGGGAAUAUUGGGCAAUGGACGCAAGUCUGACCCAGCCAUGCCGCGUGCAGGAUGAAGGCGUUAUGCGUUGUAAACUGCUUUUAUACAGGAAGAAACGACUCUUGCGAGAGGCAUUGACGGUACUGUAUGAAUAAGCAUCGGCUAACUCCGUGCCAGCAGCCGCGGUAACAC